ACAUUCCACGUUUUCCGCGCCGUAGCUAACGCAUUAAGUGCCCCGCCUGGGGAGUACGGCCGCAAGGCUAAAACUCAAAGAAAUUGACGGGGGCCCGCACAAGCGGCGGAGCAUGCGGAUUAAUUCGAUGCAACGCGAAGAACCUUACCAAGGCUUGACAUAUACUAGACCGCCUCAGAGAUGGGGUUUCCCUUCGGGGCUGGUAUACAGGUGGUGCAUGGUUGUCGUCAGCUCGUGUCGUGAGAUGUUGGGUUAAGUCCCGCAACGAGCGCAACCCUCGUUCUAUGUUGCCAGCACGUAAUGGUGGGGACUCAUAGGAGACUGCCGGGGUUAACUCGGAGGAAGGUGGGGAUGACGUCAAAUCAUCAUGCCCCUUAUGUCUUGGGCUUCACGCAUGCUACAAUGGCCGGUACAAAGGGUUGCGAUACUGUGAGGUUGAGCUAAUCCCAAAAAGCCGGUCUCAGUUCGGAUUGGGGUCUGCAACUCGACCCCAUGAAGUCGGAGUCGCUAGUAAUCGCAGAUCAGCAACGCUGCGGUGAAUACGUUCCCGGGCCUUGUACACACCGCCCGUCAAGUCACGAAAGUUGGUAACACCCGAAGCCGAUGGCCUAACCCCUUGUGGGAGGGAGUCGUCGAAGGUGGGAUUGGCGAUUGGGACUAAG
rnacentral:rRNA from 1 species